AUAAUACUCCAUAGAUUAGAGACACUGGAAUGUUCUUUAGUCGAAAGUUCUGGCGCCUUAGGAUGGAUCUGCGGUCGAUUAGGUUGUUGUUGGGGUAACGGCCCAACAAGCCUGUAAUCGAUACGGGUUGUGGGAGCAAGAGCCCGGAGAUGGAAUCUGAGACACGAUUCCAGGCCCUACGGGGCGCAGCAGGCGCGAAAACUUUACAAUGCAGGAAACUGUGAUAAGGGAACUCCGAGUGCCCGUAUACGCGGGCUGUCCAGGUGUUUAAAAAUCAUCUGAAGAAAGGGCCGGGCAAGACCGGUGCCAGCCGCCGCGGUAAUACCGGCGGCUCGAGUGGUGGCCACUAUUAUUGGGCUUAAAGCGUCCGUAGCUGGACCGAUAAGUCUCUUGGGAAAUCCGCCGGCUCCACCGGCGGGCGUCUAAGGGAUACUGUUAGUCUAGGGACCGGGAGAGGUGAGAGGUACUCCGGGGGUAGGAGUGAAAUCCUGUAAUCCCCGGGGGACCACCGAUGGCGAAGGCAUCUCACCAGAACGGCUCCGACAGUGAGGGACGAAAGCUGGGGGAGCGAACCGGAUUAGAUACCCGGGUAGUCCCAGCCGUAAACUAUGCGCGUUAAGUGU
rnacentral:rRNA from 1 species